GACCUCGUGGCGCAACGGUAGCGCGUAGCGCGUCUGACUCCAGAUCAGAAGGUUGCGUGUUCAAAUCACGUCGGGGUCA